rnacentral:rRNA from 1 species
AUUGAACGCUGGCGGCAUGCCUUACACAUGCAAGUCGAACGGCAGCACGGGGCAACCUGGUGGCGAGUGGCGAACGGGUGAGUAAUGCAUCGGAACGUACCUUUCAGUGGGGGAUAACGUAGCGAAAGUUACGCUAAUACCGCAUAUUCUGUGAGCAGGAAAGCAGGGGAUCGCAAGACCUUGCGCUGAUUGAGCGGCCGGUGUCAGAUUAGAUAGUUGGUGAGGUAAAGGCUCACCAAGGCGACGAUCUGUAGCGGGUCUGAGAGGAUGAUCCGCCACACUGGAACUGAGACACGGUCCGGACUGCUAAGGGAGGCAGCAGUGGUGAAUUUUGGACAAUGGGGGCAACCCUGAUCCAGCCAUGCCGCGUGAGUGAAGAAGGCCUUCGGGUUGUAAAGCUCUUUCGGCCGGGAAGAAAUCGCACGGGCUAAUACCCUGUGUGGAUGACGGUACCGGAAUAAGAAGCACCGGCUAACUACGUGCCAGCAGCCGCGGUAAAAC